CAUUAGGUGACUGAAAAGUAAGUGAUAAUUUUUUAAAUUAUAAAUAAUAAAUUUACAAUUAUUUCUAAUGA
rnacentral:tRNA from 1 species